AACGCACAUUGCGCCCCCUGGUAUUCCGGGGGGCAUGCCUGUUCGAGCGUCAUUAAACGUAGAUCAAGCCCCGGCUUGGAGUUGGGUGUCCAACGUCCUGAAACAUCGGACGCGCCCUAAAGACCUCGGCGGCGGCGUGGAAGCCUCAAGCGUAGUAGAAUCUUUCAAUCCCGCUUACGGAGGCUCCGCCCGCCCGCUUCCAAAAAACAACAUCUCAAAGUUGACCUCGGAUCAGGUAGGGAUACCCGCUGAACUUAA
rnacentral:misc_RNA from 1 species